CCCGUGCCUCCGCCGGUGCAGAGGGCUCUGAAAGAAAAACAUAAAACAGAGGGCGUGAGAACUAUUAAAUAAUAGUUCCAAGUGGGCAAUUACUGACUUCAGUGAAAUGCACCACUAGGCCCAAAACUAAGCAAGCAAGGUAAGUAAGGCAGGUAAGAAUAAUAUGAACAAAUAAAUCACUGAAAUGGAAGCUCAAUAUAGCAUGAUGUCAUUACUUUCAUCAGUAAUAAUCUACCACAUUAUCUCUACUUAGCGUGGAUUUGCAUAAGUAAUAAACUACCACAUGAUCUCUACUUAGCAUGAAUUUGCGUAAGUAAUAAACUACCACAUGAUCUCUACUUAGCAUGAAUUUGCAGAAGAGUAUCCAACAUGUAAAUGCAUAAGUAUGCAACUAACCCAAUGUCCAUAAUGUAAAUAGUAAAGAUGUCAUUGUUUACUAUUCUAGUCAAUGUCCAAAAGGUACAAUAUGUCACCAGUAACUCAAUCCUGUGGAAGCUACCCGUAGGUAGUCCGGCCUGCACCGUGCUAACAAUGGCCCCGUGGGUGAUAGUCAACAUCCACCACUCUUGAAUGACGCUCCCGCCCCCGGCAUAACCAUUUUGGCGCAUCCCGCACGGGCGAGCCAUGUCGUGACUGCUAAUCGUCGCGGAGUGCCGACUUGUAAGGGAAGUCGACCCUCACAAGUAUGCGAAUGAGCAAAUGGGCCAUGCACAGCAAUAAAGUCUCGUCUCAGGUCCCAGUGGUUUCAUCACUGUUCAAUGGAUCUAAAAUCAGGAAUAACAGCACAUUGUCGCAAAAGCGUCCUCUAUGUCAUCGUGUCCUAACACAUGGAACAUACGUAACUGUCCUGCAAUGGCGUAUCUCUAUGUCAUCGCUGGUCUAAAAACACCGGAAAUAAGUAGAUUUCGAUGGCCUAUCAUUAAUGUCUCUAAGUUGCAGUUCAACAAUUUUCCAGUCUUCAAGUGCCCCCUUUAUGCACCUUUUGCUCCAUAUGUCCCAAUAUGAAUAAUUAUGUUAUGAAAAUGCAUAAUUCUACAUCAUUUUCCCAUCGUACGAGACAAAGUACCCCAACUCGCAAAAGAACCACUUUCUCUCAGUGCAUGCUAAAAACCAGAAUGCUCUACAUAUAAGUAAAAAUUUUAUGAUACAUAGGGCCAUGCAUUUUAAGUGUUCUGAAAAUUCACAGUAAAUUCAUUUAACAUGAAGUACUUGAAAUCAAAAUGACGGUUUACGAAGAGCAUAUAGAAUACAGAAGGCCAUUUCCCCCUCCGUUUGUCAUAGAUGUCAACACACCGUCUCCUCGAAAAAACGCCUUAAGCUUUGCCUCCACCACAGAAAUGGUGCCCCCUAGCCUCCCUAGUAUCCUAAAACAUCCAAAAAAGCGCGCUCAACGAAGCAAACGAAACAUCAAUAUGCGAUCAACUACAUUAACUAACUCUCAACACAAGCUAAGACAACAUCACCGAUGCAGAACGGGGUGCUGACUUUCAGAUCUAAGUCNNNNNNNNNNNNNNNNNNNNNNNNNCCUCACAAGUAUGUGCGAAUGAGCACAAUGGCAUGCAAGCGAAUAAGUCCGUCUCAGGUCCCAGUGGUUCAUCACUGUUUCAUCGGAUCUAAAAUCAGGAAUACAGCACAUGUCCCAAAGGCCUGCCUCUAUGUCAUCGUGUCUAACACAUGGAACAUAGUAACUGUCUCAAUGGCGUAUCUCUAUGUCAUCGUGUCUAAAACACGGAAUAUAGUAGAUUUUCGAUGGCCUAUCAUUAUGUCUCUAAGUUGCAGUUCAACAAUUUUCUAGUUCAAGUGCCCCUUUAUGACACUUUUGCUCACUAUGUCCCAAUAUGAAUAAUUAUGUUCAUAAAUGCAUAAUUCUAAUCAUUUUCAUCGUACGAGACAAGUACCCAACUCGCAAAAGAACCACUUCUCUCAUGCAUGCUAAAAACCCAGAAUGCUCUACCAUAUAGAGUGAAAAUUUUAUGAUACAUAGGGCAUGCAUUUUAAGUGUUCUAAAAUUCACAUAAAUCUCAUUUAACAUGAAUAUGAAAUCAAAAUGACGUUACGACAAGCAUAGAAUACAUAGGGGCCAUUUCGCCCCGUUUUCAUGAAGUCAAACCCACCGGUCUCCUCGAAACCCUUCGUUUGCUCCAACGAAGGUGCCCCCUAGCCUCCUAGUAUCCUAAAAGCAUCAAAAAGCGCGGUCAAAGAAGCAAACGAACAUCAAUGCGAUCAAACAUUAACUAACUCAACACAAGGCUAAAAACUCACCGAAUGCGAAGGGUGCUCUUUCGAUCUCCAAACGGGAGUAAGAGCCCUUCCAAUCCAAUCUACACGAAGGUUCUAAACCUAUCAAUUGGGUCCUAAAGCCCACAAAUCACAAAUUCCCAAAUUCC
rnacentral:lncRNA from 1 species